GCGCUCGCUUCGGCAGCACAUAUACUAAAAUUGGGUUGAUACAGAGAAGAUUAGCAUGGCCCCUGCACAAGGAUAACACGCAAAUUUGUGAAGCAUUCCAUAUUUUU
rnacentral:snRNA from 1 species